rnacentral:tRNA from 1 species
GCGCCCAUAGCUCAGUCGGCAGAGCAACUGACUUUUAAUCAGUAGGUCCCAGGUUCGAAUCCUGGUGGGCGUACCA